UUUAAAAAAAUUGAUUAAAUUAAUUUUAUUGAAAAAAUUUCUCCACUUUUCUCUCUUUUCAUUUUUGCCAUCCCUCUCUGUUCUCUUUUCUUUUUCUCUUCUCCUCCAUUGUGCCGCCCCUUUGUUCAUUUUUUCUCUCCCAUUUGAUUUUAUUUUUCUGCUCAUUUUUCCUUCCCCCUAAAAGUCGAACCUUGCUAGUUUUACUGUUAUUGCCGCACAUCAGCAGCCCUUUUUAUCCUCCAUUGCCGCCAUCCAUUACACCACCACAUUUUUGCCAUUGUCACUUUAUUUUACUCUUCGUUUUUCCUGUCAUCGCGGAUCUGAGUAAGUGCAGAAUUUUUCGGUUAAUUUAAUCAAGUCUAAGUAGUUUUUAUUUUAUUCGAUAUUCUGAUAUGGCCGAAUCUGAUGUAUUAUCAUUUUCUUGGUGUUUAAAUGUUCAAGAUCUAGAUCCAAAUCGUAUGGAUCUAUAGCGUUGGGAAGUUGUUUGCAAGCCGUUAUAAGUCAAUUAAGGUAAGUGUUGAAUCUCCACUUCGGAUCUGAAGUUUCAAUUUAAGGUUUGCGGCUUGGUCGAACCCUAUAAGGGCUUUAGGGGGGAUGAUUUUUUAUAAAUAUUUUCUGUUGUGUUCAGAUUUAAGCAAGUUCUAGUCGGAUCUAAGUCCUAAGAGCUGCGGAUUUAAGUAGUACUUCGGGUCUACGCUUAUUAGCUGUUGGUCUUACCAUUGAGUGUUUAAUUGAUUAUUAAAAAUAAUAUUUUGUGCAUGUUAAACCAAUAUACAUGCUGAUUGGUACAUGGCCGAAUGGUCAUUAGUGAGUUUAAAAGUUACCGAUUGAGGUAUGUACUAAAAGGGUAGUGGCCGAUUAUUAAAGGGCUUUAAUUGAGAUUAAGGGUCUGUUUGUUUGCCAGUAAAAUAUUUUCCGGAAAAUAAUUUAUAGAAAAUGAUUUACUUUUCUGGAAAAUGAUUUACUGAAAAUAUUUUCUGGGAAUUUAUGUAAAAUAUUUUCUUUUAUUUGGCAGAUUUCCUGAAAAUAUUUUCCGGGAAAGCUGUUUUUACAUAUAUUAAUAAAUUUUGCAAUGAUUUAUUUAUAAAUAAAUCAAAUUAAAUAUAUAAUAAUACUCAAUUAUUAAGCUAGAAUAUUAACUGUCAUAAAUUGAAAACAACCAAAGUCAAAAUUUAAUCAAUACAGUACACAUUGAACGAAGAACCAGACACAAGUUGAACUAAAAUCUCCAAGGAACAAGAUAAAAUCCAUGUAAGAUAUACACACAGAGUGAGGAGACUUGUAUGUCAUAAUUGCACUCGAACAUUUUAGAGCUGAAGGGGCACCAACUGGUCGGGGAUUGACAAAUUGACAGGCAUUUUCUGUUGCAUUAAGUAAAGGAAGCAUUCCAGUUGUAAUGCCCUUUAUGCAUGAUUUAAUUAAAUAAUCAUUAAAAAAUUCAGAAUCUCAGAAUCUGAGCAAACAAGGAUGCCGAAGAUUGGAGGAAACAAAAAGGGGAAAGUGAAAUGGGUAUUCUUUUUGGAAGAAACAUGAGUUAUAAUGCAUUAUCCAACAAAAUCAAUUUCAGUGUCUAAAAGACUGCACUUAGCAACUAACAACAGUAAUGCUAAAAUGGGAGAAAAGGGAAUGUCAGCAAGCUGUCUAUAGUUUCUAUAAUUAUUUAGAAAUACAUUAAAAGGUGGUAGAACUGGUGGAUUAUGCAGCUUCCUUAGUCUAUUUCCAACCUAGCAAUAUAUUUGUCAUAUAAAAUCCUUGCUUUCUCAAGGUCUCCUAGCUCGGUGUAGUAGUCAGCAAUUGCUCCAUAAGCUUCUGUAUUUCUAGAGUCUUCUCCUUCUCGAUCAGAUAUUACUAAAACCAUUGAGUGGUAUUCAAUGGCUUCUUGAUAUUUGCCUUGCCUUUUCAACGGGGUACCUGAAAUCAAUCAAACUUAACUGUUAAAGUUUCUGCUACCCUUCAUGGAAAGGGAUCCCAGCUGUAGGAAAAAAAGUUUUUUGCAUCACUCCCCAGAAAGAAACACAUAAAUUAAUUAGCUGGUACAAGUUUUAAAGGCUUUACGAUUCAUCGUUUUAUGCUUUAGCACUGCCACUUGGUACAAAAAAGCGACAUGGGAUUUCCUUUGAAACCAAAUAUAAGAUUCAUAAUGAAGUCACUUCUCUGAGUAUCUAAUAGAUUGAUACACACAGAUCCAAGGGAAUUCCAUAAGGUAUCAUAAUCCUUAUCUCUCUUUGGCCACUUGGAUUGGCUUAAACCAUAAGCAUUUUACUAUACUAAAUUAGGAAUAGAGACUAGACAGGCAAAUAAAUGGAGAAGAUACAGACCUAAACCCCUGGCAGCUUUCUUCUCCUCGAUAAGAUCUUUUAGACUCUUAGCAAGCUCCAGUGCUGUCUUAAACUCUAGAAAAGCCUUCUCAAGUUCUUGAUUUCUUAAAAAGUUCUUCCUGUUCUCAACUCUUCCUUUCUUGGAUUGACAAUUACUUCAUUUUCUGAUAUUCUACCACCGAUGGGAACAAACUCAGGCUGGGAGCAUAUGACUCUAUCUUAGCCUGCCUUCUUAGAGUAACAUUGAUUUGGCGCAGCUGCUCAUUCACUCGCUGCAGCUCCUCUUUCCUCUGCCGUGCAAGCAAUCCUAAUGUGCAAAUUGUGGAUGAUCAAAAACAAAAAAAAUCCAACAUAAUGUAAAAUAAGGCUUUGAAAGUUCAUUUUCAUUAGUUAUAUAGACUGCUCAAAAUAGAUUCAUGUGUUUAAAAGUGGAAAUUGUGUAGUUAGACGUUUCAGUCACCCAUUUCAAAUUGGUAUUCCAACUGAAAACAGUUAUCUUAUUUCUAGGCUUCUGCACGAGACAAUUUUUCUAACAUUUUAAAUCGGCCAUUUAGAAUCUCUUUUCAGGAUAUGUUGGGAUAAAUCUAGUUAUAGGUAUUUUAGGAUAACAAUUUCUUCAAGCACAUCAAAUACAGUUUGAACAACGAAAAAUAUCAAUAGCUGGCUGUAUUUGAAUUGCUGUAUGUUCAUUUGAAAAGCACACAAAGUGGCAUGCCAUUAUGGAUCAGAACUAAAGAUGAGGCUAAGUAAAAAGAUACCUCCAACUAUGGCACCAAUAAGGGCUACAAAUAGCAGUAAAGGCCUGUUGAAAAAGGAGUUAUCAGCUUCACAAUUUCUUGAUUCUGCUAAUUGAAGACCAAAUAUUGGAGUUGGAAUCUGAUAAAGACGGAGACCUCAAACUCAAAGUGAAAUCAGUAUCUAUCUUAUAAAAUCAAACCAUGAUCUUAACCUUUUAACCUACUUGAAUUUUCUUUUGUCCUAACAGAUUUAAAAGCAUUCCAUAAGUGUUUCCCCUUCCUUAUUUUUUUUGCAUAGAGGAGCACAUAAAGAAUUAACUCCUCCAUGUCUAUUUUUCAUACAUAGGAGAUCAACAAAAUACAAUCAGGCAACGCAUACAACAUUAUUCAUCAUGAAUCAAGAAACGCAAAUGAGAGGAUAAAAAUAAGUAAUCCUACCAAACAAAGAAUUAGCGAUUUCAUCCAUUUUACAAAAUUAAGGGUGACUACAAAUCACCCAUCUUUGCUAAAAUCCAUUCUAGCAUUGUAGUAUAUGUCGAAACCGUUUUUUGAAAACAAAAAUUUAGUUGUCGACUUUUAAAAAUAAAAAAUUGGAGUUGCCACCGAUCCUUGAUUGGGGUGUGAUCGGCCCACCUUAAAAACAAUUUUGGUCUACGAAAUUUGAGAAAACAGGUCCGGGAGUCAGUUACGCACGAGGAAGGGUUAGCACCCUCGAAACGCCCAAAAUCGGUACCAAAUUGAUUAUUUAAUGUCUUGAGGUCGAAAAUUUGAAAGGAUUUUAAAAGAAAACUUUUUAUUUCAUGAAUGAAUCAAAAUAGUAAGACAUUUUUAUUUCAAAGAAAUAAAACACCACACCCAGUGAGUUAGGGCACAAUAUUUUUAAAUCUUCAAAAUACCCGAAUAUUGCCUUUUAAUUUUGAAAAUUCUUAUUUCGAGAUAAUAAAAUGUCAUGACCAGUAAGUUAGGACCCAACAUUUUGAAUUCCCGAGAAUAAACUUUUAUUUGAAAUUUGUGAAUUUAUUACAGAAUGAAUACUUGGCUUUCUAAAUUCAUCGAAAAAUUAAUCGCAAUCCAGUAAGUUAGGAUACGAUAUUUCUCGAGAAUUAUGAAUGCCAAAUAUUGAAAUUAUAAAUAUAGGUGGUUUAAGUACAAAAAUUUUGACAAAACCAAAAUNNNNNNNNNNNNNNNNNNNNNNNNNNNNNNNNNNNNNNNNNNNNNNNNNNNNNNNNNNNNNNNNNNNNNNNNNNNNNNNNNNNNNNNNNNNNNNNNNNNNCAAAAUAGAAAAAUAAAAUGUAUAAGUAUAUAUACAUAGGUAAAUCGUGAAAAUUCGCAUACGUAUAUAUUCAAAUACAUAUAUAUAUGUACAUAUAUUUGUAAAGAAAAUGAAAAAUGCUAUAAAAGCAUACGUAUAUAUAUAUUUAUAAAAGUAAAAAAAAAAAUUGAAACCAAAGUAUAGAAGCAUAUAUAUAUAUAGAAAUUAGGGAAUAAAAUUGAAAUAAAAACAUAUGAAUAAUAUAUAUAUAUAAAUAUAAAAUACGUAUACUACAAAAAAACAUAUGUAUAUUAUAUAAAAAAACUAUGCGUAUGUACAAAUAUAAAAAUAAUAAUAAUAAUAAUAAUGAUGGUAAUAAAUAAUAUAAGAAUAAUAAUAAAUGAUGGGAGUAAAUAAAUUUAAAAAAACAACAAAUUGCAAAAAAAAAAAAGGACCAAAUAGUUAGAAAAACUAAAAUAACUAGAAAUAAAUGAAAUUUGUGCAAAAUAAUGUGCCAAAUCGCGACAUGCGAAUUACAUGGAGGGCCAAAUCGGAAAUAAUCCGCCUCCCCAAAACGGUGUGCAGUGAUAUGGGCUGAAAUGAACAAAGGCAGAAACAUGCGGGCCAAAUUAGAAAAUAAACAAAAAUUGAUUUAAAAACAAUUUAAAAUUUGAAGGACCAAAUGCGCAAAUAGACCAUUUAAAGGAAAACGCGCGGAUCCUAGAACCGGGUCGGGUCGACGCGCGGAUUCCCCCUAAAACGGCGCCGUUUGAGCCUUACUAUUUAAAUUAGUUUUACCUUGUUGUUUUUUAAAAAAUUUGCAGAAAACACAAGCUAAAAGGAAAAAACUUUGAAGCUCUGCUAGGGUUUUUUUUUUAAAUUUUCUUUCUGCGUCGUCGUUCGUAGGCCUUUUGAACCGGAUCUCCGAUUGAUGCGGAGAUGGUAGCAAACGGCGGCCCGAACACAGAGGUAAACUCCUCUUCACUCUCUUCUCUUUAUAAAUCAACAAUAAACAUGAAAAAAAGAAUGAACGCCGGAAGAAAAAAAACCACCUUUAUAUUCAAAAAAAGUUUGUAUCUUUCUUUCUUUUUCUCUGUACUUUUUAGUGUUUCUAUGUGUAUUCCUUUACCGAAAAUCCCCUCUUUACAGAAUUUUCACGGCUUUAAAUAGCCGAAAUGGAAAAGAAAAAUAGAAUCAAAAGAAAUCUAUUCCGAUUUUUGCUCCUGUUUUGUUCCCUUUUCCUUGUUGUAUUAUUUGUGUUUGUUGUGCAGGUGCGGCGCGCAAGGCAUGGCGCUCGUGGAGGAGUGGCGCACGUGGAGGAGGCUGGCUCCGAAGCUUGCGGCGACUGGAGAGGGAGGCUCUUUAGGGUUUCUGUGUUUUUUUGUUUU
rnacentral:lncRNA from 1 species